rnacentral:lncRNA from 1 species
CAGGGGUUCACGGCAGUCGUUUUCUUCCGUUUGCUUGUGUCUUUGGAAUAAAACGUCCAAAAAUGGGAUGUAUGGAAUCUUGCUAUAGGAGUUCCCAACUUACAGCGAUGACGUUCAAGGAAGAAUAUCAAGAGCCCUUAAGAGACUUCUAUUUACUCUACGAAGUUAUUGAUAAAACCCUCAUUUUUUAGUCAAGAUUGCAAAGAAAAUUCAUUUCAGUUCUACAUUUGGUGCCAAGCGUUGUUAGUUGCAGAUAAAUAAGAUAGAAUCCAGCUCUUAAGAAAUUCAAUCUAGUGGAAAAAAACAUAAAUAUUUGCAGUUAAUUUUUUAGGCGUCAGGCACUGUGCUAAGUACUCUCAUUGGUGACCUUGAUUUUUACCCUCUUAAUCUCCAUGUGCUCCCCCUUCCCAAAUACACUCCAAGUAAAUAUAAAAUC